AAGCUAUAAGAGAAUAAAAAAAGACACGAGAGAAAGAAAACACCAGGAAAGAUGUAGAAGGAGAGCUAGAAGGAAGACACCAAGAGAGACAGAAGGGAUAUAUCAGAGUAGAAAAACAGAACAGAAAAGAAAUAGAGUAGAAGAAACAUCAGUAAAAAUAAUAAAAUGAAGAAUUAAGCUUUGGCCCUGAGAAAAGUCCUCGUGUGCUCGUCUGUCCGGCAGCUCACCUGCUCUGCAUCUCCUCUUCAGUUUCUCUGACCUACUGAAGGCUUGCCAUUCAUCAGCAUCCUAGCUUACAGAUUACAGUCCAUCAUUAAGAGAAGACAAGGCAAGAAUUCAGGAACCUGGAGGCAGGAAGCGAAGCAGAAGCCAUGGAGAAACACAGUUUGCUGGCUCGUACCCCGUGGCUUGCUCAGCCUCCUUUCUUCUACAACCCAGGACCACAUGCCCAGAGGUGGCUCCCAGUGGACUGGGCCUUCCUGCAUCAAUAAAUAAUCAAGAAAGUGCCUCACAGACUUGUGCACAGGCCAAUCUGUUGAAGACAUUUUCUCCAUCGGUGUUCCCUCUUCCCAAAUGACUCUGGUUUGUGACAAGUUAACAAAAUAGUAGCCAGAAUUGGACAUCUGAAGAAAACAACUUGACCCCUUU